CACGUAGUUAGCCGGGGCUUCUUGGUCAGGUACUGUCAUUUUCUUCCCUGCUGACAGGGCUUUACGCACCGGAGUGCUUCUUCACCCACGCGGCAUUGCUGCAUCAGGGUUCCCCCCAUUGUGCAAUAUUCCCCACUGCUGCCUCCCGCAGGAGUCUGGGCCGUGUCUCAGUCCCAAUGUGGCCGUCCACUCUCUCAAGCCGGCUACUGAUCAUCGUCUUGGUAGGCCGUUACCCUGCCAACUAACUAAUCAGACGCGGGCCCAUCCUGUACCACCGUGGUUUUCCCUGCUGUGCCAUGCGGCACCGCAGGCUUAUGCGGUAUUAGCAGCCAUUUCUGGCUGUUGUCCCCCGGUACAGGGCAGGUUGCCCACGCGUUACUCACCCGUCCGCCACUAGGUUUAUAUAUCUUCCCUCCGGAGAGUUCUGUUAUAUAAACCCCGUUCGACUUGCAUGUGUUAGGCAUGCCGCCAGCGUUCAUCCUGAGCCAGGAUCUAAA
rnacentral:rRNA from 1 species